rnacentral:rRNA from 1 species
GACGAACUCUGGCGGCGUGCUUAACACAUGCAAGUCGAACGGAAAGGCCUGCUUUCCCUUGUGGAUUGCGGGUACUCGAGUGGCGAACGGGUGAGUAACACGUUAGUGAUCUGCCCCCAACUUGGGUAUAAGCCUGGGAAACUGGGUCUAAUUUCCGAUAGGACUGCAGGGUGGUGCCGGUGGUGGAAAACGAGUUUCUAGUGGUUGGGGAUGAGCUCGCGGCCUAUCAGCUUGUUGGUGGGGUAAUGGCCUACCAAGGCGGCGACGGGUAGCCGGCCUGGGAGGGUGGACGGCCACAUUGGGACUGAGAUACGGCCCAGACUCCUACGGGAGGCAGCAGUGGGGAAUAUUGCACAAUGGGCGGAAGCCUGAUGCAGCGACGGCGCGUGGGGGAUGACGGCCUUCGGGUUGUAAACUCCUUUCGACCGCGAGGAAGCCACCUGGUUGGAAGGGUGGUGACGGUAGUGGUAGAAGAAGCACCGGCUAACUACGUG